UCCCCGCCCUCUGUGCAUAUCAUCCUCUCUCUGCCUCCGUCAGUCUUCCUUCCAGGUAAUUCUGUUCCAGAAAAUGCGCGGCUGGCAACUGCUGCUGCUGUCCCUGUAGUUGUCUCUCUCUACCGGGCCUCCUUCCACUCAGUAUAGCUCACCCACCGACUGCUAGAGAGAAUCCGCAUGCGGAGCCUCAUCGAACGCACCGUGGUGAAUUUACACUUGAUUUUCUGUCGCAGAAGAGUGGUAUCUACGCUUGCCAGAUUCUUGAAUAUGGAGGUCCUUGUGAAAUAUACAUUUGUUAAUUUUUUUUGUUUUAUGUCAUAAAUAUCAAUGAUGGAUCCAGUCUUUGAAACCGCAUGAAAAUGCAAGUUUUGCAGUUUAUUUUCAUUCGUUCAAGCUGAGCAAAUGCGUCGUGUCUGAGGCAGAAUCUACGGUCUCCUCCAAAUCAGCCCAGGAUUUGCGUAUGAGAAACGCAAACCACAGCGUUCCUAUUGAUCGAACAUUGCGUUUGGCUUGCCUUUAUUCCCAGUUUCGGAUUGAUCGGAUGCACCGGCGUUGGAUGCGACUGUGGAGAACUCCAUAGCUUUCAGCAUGAUUUGAUGUAAAGGGUUUUUCAACAGGGUAACUGGACGUCUACCUUUCUGAAAACAGCUACAUUCAAGUCAAGUGCGAAAGCCAUCAAUAGAUCAUCCCUAUAUGGACUAAACCUUGGCUCCUCGGGAUUUUAAAACUAGCAGGUCACACUCAUCUUGGUUUUGGCGCUUCUUGGGAAAAUUGCCUUAAACUGCGGGAGCCAUGAAAGUUGUUUCAGCAGUGUUGUUCCUUGCCAUAUUUUGGAGUCAGGAGUGGGAGCCCGUGAAUUCUGAUUCAAUCAUACACAUCGGGGCCAUCUUUGACGAGUCUGCCAGGAAGGAUGACGAGGUGUUCCGCAUGGCCGUGGCGGACCUCAACCUCAACAACGAGAUCCUGGAGACGGAGAAGAUCACCAUCUCCGUGGAGUUUGUGGACGGGAACAACCCUUUCCAGGCGGUCCAGGAAGCCUGUGAGUUGAUGAACAGGGGGAUCCUGGCGCUCGUCAGCUCUAUCGGCUGUAUGUCGGCGGGCUCCCUUCAGUCUCUGGCGGACGCGAUGCACAUCCCGCACCUCUUCAUCCAGCGUGCCACUGCCGGGACCCCUCGCUCCAGCUGCCCCCUCAUCACCACCCGCACCCGCCAGGAUGACUACACCCUCUUCGUGCGCCCGCCCGUCUACCUCAAUGACGUCAUCCUCCAAGUGGUCAGCGAGUACAGCUGGCAGAAGUUCAUCAUCUUCUACGACCAGGAAUACGAUAUCCGUGGGAUCCAGGACUUCCUGGACAAGACGUCUCAGCAAGGCAUGGACGUGUCGCUUCAGAAGGUGGAGUCCAACAUCAACAUGAUGAUUACCAGCAUGUUCCGGACCAUGAGGGUGGAGGAGCUCCACCGCUACCGGGACACGCUGCGCCGGGCCGUGCUCUUCAUGAGCCCCGCCACCGCCAAGGCCUUCAUCACUGAGGUUGUGGAGACGAACCUCGUGGCAUUCGACUGCCACUGGAUCAUCAUCAAUGAGGAGAUCUCAGACCAGGACGUCCAGGAGCUGGUUAUGAAGUCUAUCGGGCGUCUGACUCUGAUCAGGCAGACCUUCCCCCUGCCCCAGAACACCAGCCAGCGCUGUGUCAAGCACAACCACCGCAUCAACACCUCCCUCUGUGACCCCAAAGACCCCAAGGCUCAGACACUGGAGAUAACCAACCGCUACAUCUACGACACGGUGCUGCUAUUGGCCAACACCUUCCACAGGAAACUGGAGGACAGGAAGUGGCACAGCAUGGCCAGCCUCACCUGCAUCCGCAAGAACUCCAAGCCCUGGCAAGGAGGGCGCCCCAUGCUAGACAACGUCAAAAAGUCUGGAGUAAGUGGUCUGACCGGCUUCCUGGAGUUUACCGACAACGGAACCAACCCCAACAUCUACUUUGAGAUCCUGGGGACCAAUUAUGGCGAGGACAGGGGGAGGGGUGUCAUCAAGCUGGCCACCUGGGAUCCAGUGCAUGGCCUCAAUGGAACACUAACUGACAGGAAGUUGGAGAACAACAUGAGAGGUGUGGUUCUGCGCGUGGUCACUGUGCUGGAGGAGCCCUUUGUGAUGGUGUCAGAGAAUGUCCUUGGGAAGCCAAAGAAGUACCAAGGCUAUUCCAUCGACGUGCUGGAUGCUCUCUCCAAUUACCUGGGCUUCAAGUACGAGAUCUAUGUGGCCCCUGACCAUAAGUAUGGGAGCCAACAGGCUGGCGGGGUCUGGAACGGACUAAUCGGAGAGUUGGUUGCCAAGCGUGCUGACAUGGGUCUCUCGGCUCUCACCAUCACACCAGAGCGGGAGAGUGUGGUGGACUUUACCACGCGCUACAUGGACUACUCGGUGGGCGUGCUGCUCAGGAAGGCUGAACGCACCGUGGACAUGUUCGCCUGCCUGGCGCCCUUUGACCUGUCGCUAUGGGCAUGCAUCGCGGGCACGGUGCUACUGGUGGGCAUACUGGUCUACCUGCUCAAUUGGCUCAACCCGCCGCGCCUGCCCAUGGGCUCCGUCUCCUCCACCACCCUCUACAACUCCAUGUGGUUUGUCUACGGAUCAUUCGUCCAGCAGGGUGGUGAGGUUCCGUAUACCACCCUGGCCACGAGGAUGAUGAUGGGGGUAUGGUGGCUCUUCGCUUUGAUCGUACUCUCCUCCUACACGGCCAACCUGGCUGCCUUCCUCACCAUCAGCCGUAUCGAGAACUCCAUCCAGUCUCUCCAGGACCUGUCCAAGCAGACAGAGUUGCCCUACGGGACGGUGUUGGACUCGGCUGUGUACGAGCAGGUGCGCAGUAAGGCCAUGAACCCCUUUGAAAGGGACCCCAUGUACUCCCAGAUGUGGCGUAUGAUCAACCGCACCGGAGGGGCUGACAACAACGUGGAGGAGUCCAAGGAGGGCAUCCGCAAGGUGAAGUACGGCCAUUUUGCCUUUGUGUGGGAUGUGGCAGUGCUGGAGUAUGUGGGCAUCAACGAUGAGGACUGCUCCUUCUACACUGUGGGGAACAAGGCACCAGACCGGGGAUACGGCAUCGCCCUGCAGCACGGCAGUCCAUACAGGGACAUCUUCUCCCAGAGGAUCCUGGAGCUGCAGCAGAACGGGGACAUGGACAUCCUGAAGCUGAAGUGGUGGCCCCGGGACAGCCCGUGUGACCUGUACUCUGCGGUGCACACCAAACACCGCGGCAGCGCCCUGGACAUCCACAGCUUUGCCGGCGUGUUCUGCGUGCUGGCGGCAGGUGUGGUGCUCUCCUGUCUCAUCGCCAUGGUGGAGACCUGGUGGACAAGGAGGAAGGGCUCACGAGUCCCCUCCAAAGAGAUAAGUACACUGUGUUGAGGGUAAAGCGGGCGAGGGAGAGCAAUACAAAAUGCCAUUUUUCACCCUUCCAGGAUGAUAAGGAGAUCGACCUGGAGCACCUUCACCGCCGGGUUAACAGCCUGUGCACAGAGGACGACAGCCCCCACAAACAGUUCUCCACCUCCUCCAUUGACCUGACGCCACUGGACAUGGACUCUAUGCCGGCCAACCGGCAGGCCCUGGAGCAGAUCAGCGACUUCCGAAACACGCACAUCACCACUACCACCUUCAUCCCCGAGCAGAUCCAGACCCUCAGCCGCAGCCUGUCUGCCAAGGCCCAACAGGGCUUCGCCUUUGGUCCCGUGCAGGACCACCGGACUGGGGGGCCCUUCAGGCAGAGAGCCCCCAACGGAGGCUUCUUCCGCAGCCCCAUCAAGACUAUGUCCUCCAUACCCUACCAGCCCACUCCCCAGCCCAACUUCGGCUACGGCAACGACCCAGACCGGGGCACGUCCAUAUGAGGCGAGAAGGAGUAGGCCGCACAGCGAGAGAAAGAUGAAAUUAAACGCACUCAAAAAAAAUCUAUGUACAUAGGAAUCUUUUUCAGUUCUGAUUUUUUGAGGGGCUUUGCUUUUGUUUGGUGGGGGUUUUCCUGCUGAAACCUGGUGGUGAGAGGUCGGGGACUUGAAUAUUUGCUUUAUUGUCAUCUUUCUCAUGGUUGUCUAGGGAUCUUUUGGGUGACGGGGCUCUGUUUUCUCUUUUUCGUUUCAUGGCAUUUGAGGACUGCCUUUCUGAAGAAGCUUUUGGACCCAACAAGGAGGAUAUGUAUUUGUUUUUUACAACAGAAAACACUUUUCUGUUCUUGAGAUCUACAAAUCGGCAACAACCCUAUGCUCAUUUGAAGGAUGUUCUUGUCUUUGCCUUUCAGCAUAUGGGACUCCAUCACACUCAGUUCUCUGGUGUUGAUCAUCAAUGCCUGUACUCCAAAUCUGAAAUCUGCACCAAAAUGGGUGUCCAUUGGCUCCACUGCCCUGCAGACUGAGACCUCACUGUCUGAGCUUUGGGCACGCUUCGUCAUUUUUGUGCACAUAAGGCUCCAUCAAUUCCACUGCACUGUACCAGUGCCCAUUGACCUGUAUUUGAUUGUAUGUAGUUUGGAUAUUUUUUUCUCACCUGUACUGUGCUGUCUAUUUCAAGGUUAGCGCCUCAGCCUCUAAACAAACACUUGAGAGAUGCAUAGAUGGACAAAAAGGAACUGAAAAUAUAAGAUAAAAGACAACAGAAAAAGGACUUUAAAAAGCAGCUGAGGCUAUUGUAUGUAUUUUAUUGAAUUUGCUUUGAAAAUCUAUUUCAAUCCGUGGAAUGUGUUUGGUGAGAAAGUCACACAAAAAAAAUGUUUGGAGCUGUCUCAUUGUUUUUUGUCUACCAAUUUUGAAAAGCGCUAAAUGACUGCUAUAGUCUUACUCUGGUUUGCAUCAUUAAUCAUAUUCAAUAAAAACAUUUUUUUUACCUAAUUUGUAGUUCUACCAGGGCUCAGUCAGAAAAAAGUCGCAUUUCAUUCUCCAGUCCACUAACUGACUGCUGUGUACCUGUAAGGGCAAACAGUUGAGCUCAGAGUGAGGAGAACCCCUUUCAGAUAACAUCCACAGUACAAGCCAUAUCAUUGCAGGCUGGCUUCACCUUGCCAGUUUCCUGCUUCAACAGGAUUUCUUGCCAUUGGAACUGUAGAGCUGAUGGCAUUCAUUUUGAAAGAUCUUUCUUCAUUUCUUAAAUGUUAAGGGUACUGUUUAUCUAACUUUUUUAAAAGUGCCAAUUGUUUAAAUGAGGCCAUUUAGGUGCAGUUUGGGGGGAGGGGGUAAAAAAAAACAAUAUUUUGUGAAGGGAAAAGUGGAAACUAACCUUUUCACUAACACUGUAUUAAUAUUUAAUAAUGUUUGUUGUUUAGAAUGAGCUUUCAGUUUGUUAUCUUAAGACUAAACCGCAAAUGUUGUGCGUAGAGAACCGAAGCAGUGUUUGAUGCAAGCAUUCUAGAUGUCCUUUUCUUAAGCUACAGUAUGGCUAUUGAAUGACAAUAGGACACAGACAAUGUUUAAAGACAUUUUAUUUACUAUUAAUGACAGACACAUUAUGAAAUAUGUAUAUUUUACAUGUUGAUGCUAUAUUUGUUUAAAAAAUAAUAAUAAUAUAUCAUAUGAGCAUCGAGUUAGCAGUCACCCUAUACAUUUGGUUUCCCUCAGUUCCAGCCCACACAUAAGCUUUCUCAUGUCAUCUUGAGUUCAUUUUGAUUUGCUGGUUAAUAACAGAGGAGGCAAGUUCUUAAAAAGAAGCAUGCACAACUUGCUAUGCCCGUGACAUGUUUUAUUUCAUACAUAGAACGUACAGGAUUACUUGAUCAAUUUUCAACUGAUUAUAAUGUGCAGUAUUUAAUAUAGGCCUAUUUUGUUGUAUAUGUGUUGCAUAUUAUUCAAACGGAACAAUCUGAGGCCUCUGUUACAAGUGGCAAAGCUUUCUGUGUAUAAUUUGUCUAAUAAACUUGUUUUCUACAGCGG